rnacentral:snRNA from 1 species
AAGAUAAAUUAUCGUGUUGAUUC